rnacentral:rRNA from 1 species
UACGGGGGGGGCAAGCGUUGUUCGGAAUUACUGGGCGUAAAGGGCUUGUAGGCGGCCAACUAAGUCACACGUGAAAUCCCUCGGCUUAACCGGGGAACUGCGCUUGAUACUGGAUGGCUUGAGAUUGGGAGAGGGAUGCGGAAUUCCAGGUGUAGCGGUGAAAUGCGUAGAUAUCUGGAGGAACACCGGUGGCGAAGGCGGCAUCCGGGACCAACACUGACGCGGAGGAGCGAAAGCCAGGGGAGCAAACGGG